AGGGAGACUCAGAAGGACAACACUAAGGAAGCUGCUGUUUUCUCGGAACACUCAAAUUAUCACAGCAGGAAGAAAAGAAUGAGUUCAGAAUUUAAAUCCAGAUUCCACAAGGGUCUUGAUACCUGGAUCCUCAGUUAAGACUGAGGCAGAAUGGACUCUUUGUAAGAUGUCCAAUAGUGGAUUGCUUUGUGACAGGAUAUCAGGAAGGCGAUGUCAUGACCUGCAAGUGAAUUAGAUUUAAAUGACGGAGGGCUGUGCAAAGUCAUCAGCCUCACUCUCUCC